rnacentral:rRNA from 1 species
AAUCAUUUGUCUUUUAAAUGGAGACUUGUAUGAACGGCAAAACCUCCUCCAACUGUCUCCCCUCCCAUCCUUCCAAAUUUCCUCCUGUGUGAAGAAGCACAGAUACACCAGAAAGACGAGAAGACCCUGUCGAGCUUUAACCACUAAGUGGGCCUUACCCUUUCAGGCACCACCCAAAGGUUUUGGUUGGGGCAACCACGGAGAAAAAACAUCCUCCAGAACGAAUAGAAGAAAGCUUUUCACUAUUAUUAUGACUAAGAACCAGGAACUGGUAUUCGGAAAGAGUUACCGCAGGGAUAACAGCGUCAUCUCCUCUAAGAGUCCUUAUUGACGAGGAGGUUUGCGACCUCGAUGUUGGAUUGGGGCCCCCUUAGGGUGCAGAAGCUCUAAACGGUUAGACUGUUCGUCUAUUAAAGCCCUACAUGAUCUGAGUUCAAACCGGAG